AGUCUACGGAGAUGGCGUAGCUCAAGAGAAGGGAGUCUGAGGUAGCUGCUCACUUGUAUGAUGUGAUCAUGGAUUAUUUCACAUCCAGAGAUCCAAGAGAUGAUGAAGGAUCGGAUUAUAAUGAAUUUACCGAAGAAGAGGUGUCCGAUGAAGGGAAUUUGGAAUGUUGAACGUCGAAGUUGGAAGCUAAUUAAGACAGCUAACGCUAACAACGGAGAUGGGGGAAGCGCUGGAGCGGAUGAAAAGGAAGCGGUGAACAAUCCGCUCUUCGACAACAAAGCUGCUAACUCGUAUGGAGGAGGAGGUGAGCAAAGAACAGCCAGACUGUGAGAAACUCUGUGAAAUGCUUUCAGUGUUGUCAACAAAAGAAGAGCAACUUGUUGACUGGGACAGAGGCAUUGAGNNNNNNNNNNNNNNNNNNNNCAUUGAGAUUGGAUCAUGUACGCUGAAGUUAUGAGGACGUGUUCAGGGUGGGACUGUACACUGAAGUUGAGUACUAUCUGUUUAUGGUGAAUGGUCGAAAUUCAACGCAACGCCACGGGUACGCCGUUUGACGGAAUGUCGCAAAUAGCACAACUUUUAAUCAUGAAUGUCUUUAGAUUGCGCUGAUUAAAUUGGAAGUUGAUCCGAUAAAUUCCCUAGGAGGAGUUCGUUCAAAUAAAACGCGAAAAGUUCACCGAAAGUGAAACUUUAAAUCAAAAUGGCCGACUUCCUGUGGGGUUUCGGGUAUGAGUCCAAGAGGCUUUUUUGUACGUCCUGGCAUGUUACACGUGCCUACCGAGUUUCAUACAUAUCGGUGAAAUGUGGCACUGGGGCUGCUGUUUUUUUAUCCUGUAGGGGGCGCUACACACACGACAAACACGAUUUUUGGUAUGUGAGCUUCCGGCACUACUCUACACGUGCCCUGUGAAUUUCAUAUUCAUAACUAUUACGGUCUCCGCACAGUGAUUUAUCCUGCCACCAGAGCGCCACCCAGUGGCCUGAUUUUUUUUCCUUUUUUGGUGAGCCUCAGGGAGCCAUGGGCAAGCAUCCUACCAAGUUUCAUUUUAAUCACACGUGCCGUUGCAGAGAUAUAAACUUCUUCAUUUUAAAGAGCGCCACCUAGUGGUAAUGGUCUGAAAUUGUGCACGGUGCCUAAGGAGGACAUGUGGAACUAUGCACCCAAGUUUGGUGUCAAUCGAACAUACCAAUGUUAAGAAAUGGUCCUCUUCCUUUUUUGACGAAAAAUCCACAGGAAGUGCUAAUUUUAUAGCGUGCUUAUUGUUUGAAAUUUCAAAAAUGUUAAAAUUACUUUUUUUGCCAGGGCGGUCCCCAGGUGCUAGGUGAAAAAAUGUGUGUUAAUCGGACAAAGCGUGUCGGAGGAACACGAAAAAGUAGUUUAAGGACAUUUCGUGCUCUAACAAAAAAAAUUCUAGGCGGAAGUGGGCGGGGCCUAUAUGGAGGGAUUCAGCUCCAUUCACCGAACGCGUGGAUACCAGUUUUUUGAAUGUGCGACAAACUAUGCAGAAGUUAUUAGCCUAAACGCAUUUUUUAUGAUAGUAGCGCCACCUACUGGCCAACCCGAAAGCGACGCAUAGAAUAUAAAAUUUUUCACCAGGCCUGACCACUUUGCCAAAUAAAAUUGACUUUUCGUAUAUAUGUUCAGGGGGGCAAAAACACAAUCAAAAGUGCUAAAAAUAAUAAUAAGUAAGAAGAAACAUAGCAAAAACAAUAGGGACCUCCAGCGGUCGCUUGCGAGGUCCCUAAUAAAAUGACAUAUAGUUUUAAAGGUUUGCCUCUCAUGUAGCCUUUUAUCAUUACUGCACUCACAUUACAUAAUGAAGCGUUUUAGCUAUCAGCUAUUCAUUCAGUCAUUGUGGGCCAGACUCAGUUUUUAGAGCCACGGUAAUCUGACCUCAUGUUACCU
rnacentral:lncRNA from 15 species